rnacentral:misc_RNA from 1 species
AACGCACCUUGCGCUCCUUGGUAUUCCUCGGAGCAUGCCUGUUUGAGUAUCAUGAAAUCUUCAAAGCAAAUCCUUUUGUUAAUUCAAUUGGUUCUGCUUUGGUAUUGGAGGUCUUUGCAGCUUCACACCCUGCUCCUCUUCGUUCAUUAGCUGGAUCUCAGUGUUAUGCUUGGUUCCACUCGGCGUGAUAAGUUAUCUAUCGCUGAGGACACUGUAACAAGUGGCCAAGGUAAAUGCAGAUGAACCGCUUCCAACAGUCCAUUGACUUGGACAAUAUUUUUAUGAUCUGAUCUCAAAUCAGGUAGGACUACCCGCUGAACUUAA